rnacentral:rRNA from 1 species
UACGUAGGGUGCGAGCGUUAAUCGGAAUUACUGGGCGUAAAGGGCGCGUAGGCGGCCAACUAAGUCAGACGUGAAAUCCCACGGCUCAACCGUGGAACUGCGUCUGAUACUGGAUGGCUUGAAUCCGGGAGAGGGAUGUGGAAUUCCAGGUGUAGCGGUGAAAUGCGUAGAUAUCUGGAGGAACACCGGUGGCGAAGGCGGCAUCCUGGACCGGUAUUGACGCUGAGGCGCGAAAGCCAGGGGAGCAAACGGG